CUUGAUUUAAUUGCCUUCACUUUGAAUUUUGAAUUUGCAGCUUUUUAGAUAUAUAAUAUAUAAUUAGUAGGCCUGUUGGCUGUUGACUGCGUUAAUUUCGAAGCAAAUUAUAUAGUGGUACUUAGUACUAAUUAAUCUACUUUAGCACUCCAAAGCCUGCGGUGCAUGCACUUUUCAACGUAUGUAUGCAUCUUUUUCGAUGCUUCAUUUGAGUUUAGGGGCUUGGUUUCUCUUUGGACGUUAAUCUUGAAGCUCCAGGUCCAGGACAAGCAUGGAUGGGAUUUUGCAGCUUAGAGCUGCGGUUUGACGGAAAGAUUGAAAUGGGUUCGGAGUAUAGAGGUUAAGGAGAUG